AUUGAACGCUGGCGGCAUGCUUUACACAUGCAAGUCGAACGGUAACGCGGGGCAACCUGGCGACGAGUGGCGAACGGGUGAGUAAUGCAUCGGAACGUGCCCGGUAGUGGGGGAUAACUGCUCGAAAGAGCAGCUAAUACCGCAUACGACCUGAGGGUGAAAGGGGGGGAUCGCAAGACCUCUCGCUAUUGGAGCGGCCGCUGUCGGAUUAGCUAGUUGGUGGGGUAAGGGCCCACCAAGGCGACGAUCCGUAGCUGGUCUGAGAGGACGACCAGCCACACUGGGACUGAGACACGGCCCAGACGCCUACGGGAGGCAGCAGUGGGGAAUUUUGGACAAUGGACGCAAGUCUGAUCCAGCCAUGCCGCGUGCGGGAAGAAGGCCUUCGGGUUGUAAACCGCUUUUGUCAGAGAAGAAAUCUUCUGGGUUAAUACCUCGGGAGGAUGACGGUAUCUGAAGAAUAAGCACCGGCUAACUACGUGCCAGCCGCCGCCGUAA
rnacentral:rRNA from 1 species